AGUGAACGCUGGCGGAAUGCUUUACACAUGCAAGUCGAACGGCAGCACGGACUUCAGUCUGGUGGCGAGUGGCGAACGGGUGAGUAAUGUAUCGGAACGUGCCCAGUCGUGGGGGAUAACGUAGUGAAAAUUACGCUAAUACCGCAUACGAUCUAUGGAUGAAAGCGGGGGAUCGCAAGACCUCGCGCGAUUGGAGCGGCCGAUAUCAGAUUAGGUAGUUGGUGGGGUAAAGGCCCACCAAGCCAACGAUCUGUAGCUGGUCUGAGAGGACGACCAGCCACACUGGAACUGAGACACGGUCCAGACUCCUACGGGAGGCAGCAGUGGGUAAUUUUGGACAAUGGGCGAAAGCCUGAUCCAGCCAUUCCGCGUGCAGGAUGAAGGCCCUCGGGUUGUAAACUGCUUUUGUACAGAACGAAAAGGUUUCUACUAAUACUAGGAGCUCAUGACGGUACUGUAAGAAUAAGCACCGGCUAACUACGUGCCAGCCGCCGCCGUAAAAC
rnacentral:rRNA from 1 species